GACGAACGCUGGCGGCGUGCUUAACACAUGCAAGUCGAGCGGUAAGGCCCUUUCGGGGGUACGACGAGCGGCGAACGGGUGAGUAACACGUGGGUGACCUGCCCUCAGCUCUGGGAUAAGCCUGGGAAACCGGGUCUAAUACUGGAUAUGACUCCAUGACGCAUGUUGUGGGGUGGAAAGCCUUGUGCGGCUGAGGAUGGG
rnacentral:rRNA from 1 species